UUUUUUCUUUUUUUUUCCUUUUUUUUUAAUGUCACUCUCUCCCAUUAACACAUCUUGCUGCUUUUAGGAUCCGUUCUUUAUCAUUGAUCUUUUGGUUGUUUUGAAACUGGAGGGGUUCUCUUAUCCCCCUCACAGGGCAUGUGACAGGGGUUUGGAUUACUUCUUUGUUUCCCUGCUGCUCAAACUCCUAGGGAGAGCAGACAGACAGGCAGGUCGUGAGGAGCGUUUUUGGGCUUCGACCCCGUGGCAGCAUCUAGGGUUGAGUGUUUACAGCUCCCAAAGCCCCAAUGGGCAUGUGUUACAGUGUGCUCUUUCAUCUUAGCCAUCUGCAGGCAGCUUGUGUUAAUCGGCUCAAUUAGAUCCUCUGCCUUAUUACAAGGACAGAGGGCUUUCUGUGUAUCGAGGUUUUGGGCCCUGAUUUACCAGAAAAAUCAGAUCACACGUGGGCUUGGAGAAUGAGUGCAAGGUUUUAUUGAGUGGUGGAAGUCGCUCUCAGCAGAUGGAUGGGGAGCUAGAAGGGGGAUGGGGUGGGAAGGUGGUCUUCCUCUGGAGUUGAGCCACCCAGCAGGUGGACUAUCCUCCGACUGAAUUCCCCUCAGAGUCCACGUCGUUUCUCAGUCGAUGGCCUGUCGGCAUCUGCCUGUGUGUUCUUCUGCCAGUGUGUUCCUCUUGACAUCCAGCCAUUUGUGUGUGUGCCUGCUAGGGUCUUGGGUGUUUAUGGGUAUAGGAUGGGUGGGGGGCAUGGCAGACCAGUGUGGUCUUGGAAAAUGCAACAUAUGGGCAUGAAAACAGGAGUGCCUGUCCUCACCUAGGUCUGUGGGAACAGGCCUGAGGAUGGAGCCCUCAACCCGGACCCCACCCUUUUCUACCCAGCACUUUCCUGCCCCCUGUUUCAUAUCAGUUUGAUAUUAAGUUCCUUGAGGUUGUCUUUUUUGGGGGUUAAGUCUGCUUGGUGUUCUAUAACCAUCUUAUACUUGAAUGUUGAUAUCUUUCUCUUGGUUUGGGAAGUUCUCUUUAUCCCUUUGAAUAAACUUUCUUCCCUUAUGUUUUUCUCUACCUUCUUUUUAAGCCAAUAACUCAGAUUUUUCCUUUUCAGGCAACUUUCUAGGUCCUCUGGGUGUGCUUCCAGUUUUAAAAUCCUUUUUUCUUUUGUCUCCUUUGACUAUGUAUUUUCAAUUGACCUGUCUUCAAGCUCACUAAUUCUUUCUUCUUCUUUACCAAUCCUGCUAUUUAAAGAUUCUGAUGCAUUCUUCAGUAUGUCAAAUGUAUUAUUCAACUCCAGAUUUUCUGCUUGAUUCUUUUUAAAUAUUUCAAUAUCUUUGUUAAAUUUAUCUGAUAAAAAAACUGUGUGUUAUCUUAAAUUUCUAUAAGUUACCUCAAACAACUAUUUUGCAUUCUUAUUCUGAAAGGCCACAUAUCUCUGUUUCUACAAAAUUCAUUCCUGGUGGCUUAUUUACUUCAUAUUGUGAGGUUAUGUUUUCCUGGAUGGUCCUGAUGCCUGUUGACAUUCGUCUGUGUCUGGUCAUUGAAGAGUUAGUUUUUUAUUGCGGUCUUCAUAGUCUGGGCUUGUUUGUACCCAUCGUUUCAGGGAAGGUUUUUCAUGUAUUCAAAAGACCCUGGGCAUUGUGAUUAAAGCCAUAUCUACAUUAAGGGGCACCCCAAGCCCAGUAAUGCUGUGGUUCUUGCAGACUUGUAUAGGUACCACCUUGGUGGUAUUGGACAAGAUCCAGGAGAAUUUUCUCAUUUACCAGGCAGAGACUCUUGUUCUCCUCCCUUACUUUCUGCCAAACAAAUGGAUUCUCUGUCUGUUCUGAGCUUACUGGAGGUGGGUUUGAAAUGACACAAGCACCCCUUUGGCCACCACCACUGGGAUUGUGCUGGGUUAGACCUGAA
ensembl:lncRNA